rnacentral:misc_RNA from 1 species
GAUGAAGAACGCAGCGAAAUGCGAUAAGUAGUGUGAAUUGCAGAAUUCAGUGAAUCAUCGAAUCUUUGAACGCACAUUGCGCUCUUUGGUAUUCCAAAGGGCAUGCCUGUUCGAGCGUCAUUUGUACCCUCAAGCUUUGCUUGGUGUUGGGCGUCUUGUCUCUAGCUUUGCUGGAGACUCGCCUUAAAGUAAUUGGCAGCCGGCCUACUGGUUUCGGAGCGCAGCACAAGUCGCACUCUCUAUCAGCAAAGGUCUAGCAUCCAUUAAGCCUUUUUUUCAACUUUUGACCUCGGAUCAGGUAGGGAUACCCGCUGAACUUAAGCAUAUCAAUAAGCGGAGGA